UACCUGCAGCUCGAGUGGUAACCGCUAUUAUUGGGCCUAAAGCGUCCGUAGCCGGUUUGGUAAAUAUCUGGGUAAAUCGUGAGGCUUAACUUCACGAAUUUCGGAUAGACUGCCAGACUUGGGAUCGGGGGAGGUCAGAGGUACUCCAGGGGUAGCGGUGAAGUGUUGUAAUCCUUGGAGGACCACCGGUAGCGAAGGCGUCUGACUAGAACGAGUCCGACGGUGAGGGACGAAGCCCUGGGGCGCAAACCGGAUUAGAUACCCGGGUAGUCCAGGGUGUAAACGAUGUGGGCUUUGUAUUGGAGGUCCCACGUGGGCGUCCAGUGCAGAAGAGAAGUUGUUAAGCCCACCGCCUGGGAAGUACGGUCGCAAGGCUGAAACUUAAGGAAUUGGCGGGGGAGCACAGCAACGGGAGGAGCGUGCGGUUU
rnacentral:rRNA from 1 species